ensembl:lncRNA
CUCCCGCCUGUCCCCGUCCCGCCGUCGGGGCGGCCCCGCGCCCGGCUGCUUUGCAUAUGCAAAUGAGGCACGGGGGAGGGAGGCCACGUGCGGUUCCCCCCGUCGGUCCCCUCGGGCCGGGCCGCAGAUCCCACUGCCUCCUGUCACGGAGCUUGUUCCUUUGUGCCGCCUUUCGAGGAAUCAAAGCAGACACGGUUGUGACACGUAGCCCGGCGGGUCAGAGAAUGUGUAAAUUAUUUUCCCGAGCUGGAGAGAGAGAGAAAGAGCCCAAAGAUUGGGGACAAGUGAAUGAAAACAGCCAGAAAUAUCUCCUGUGAGAUUCAACAUCAGGAUAAUUUCACAGUCUCGCUUUUUGACUGCUGUGUCCCGAAGCUGACCAGCACCAUGCAAGGCUGAUCAAAGGCCAUCGGAAACAUCAAAUGCUGAUUUCAGUCCUCGCUGCGGGAGGAAAAAGAGUGGUGGUUCUACCCGUGAAAUGCUGUGCUUUGGUGGGUGCUUGCAAAACUACCACUUGCAAACCCCGGAUUAAAAAGAAAACUGAUGUAAUUUUAAAGCCCGCCAACUGCCUUAGCGACUGUAUCAGAAGAUUAAAAACAAAGGUUUCAUUGAAGCGCUACCUCCCACUGUGCAGCUGAAAGUCUUAUGGCGGAGGCAAAUGGUCCUAAAUAUCUCUCUGCUAAGUACAAAUUACAUACUGGAUAUAUUAAGUUGUAAUGGUGCAUUUUCGGGAGUCACUUUGCUUGUGUGAGAGCAUCAGUUAAGACUCCAAAAAUGCUGACUGCGUGGCACAUGGACACAAAAAGGAAUUUGACUUUCACAAAAAAUGUUUUGUUCAUAUUAAAUGCUUUUUGCCUCUGCCUCCCCCCAUCCCCUGGCUCAGCCUGGAGUCUCAAAUGCCAGACCCAAUGUGUACAGUAAGUUUCUCUGAAAUCCGUGGCAGAGAAAUAGUAUCCUAGCCUGGCAAGCUACUGUCUGCACUUGCAUUCCUACUCUUCGUCCCUCUGUGCUAGGGCUCGUAGGAGCCCUUCGGAUCGGCUGAAAUGUAUCCGAAUAAAGAUGCUCUAGAAAAUGUCUUUUUAAUGUGGAGUUAUUUUCCAUUUCCAUUGGCAAUAUCCUUUAACUCAGUACACGUGCUGUAAUGCUUCACUUAAUAGAAACAUUCGCAUAAAACUUAAUGAUUAGCCUUCAUUCUGCUCCCACAUGAUCAAUAAAAUGCUAAGCUAAUACCGAAAGUGCAAAAGUGUCUAUGAGUGUGCAUAAACUUGUGUUACAGUGUUGGAUGUAGGUAAAUAGUAUCUAUGGGA